AUACUGACCCGGCAGGGGAGACACCGUGAUCCGGAGGGUGGUUUUCCCAGGGCGAGGCUGACCCGUUGCACUCCGGAGUGCCGACCCCUGAGACUUCCCCAGGUGUGGGAAACUUCACUGCGUCAUGUGUGGUAGUGGGGGCUGCGUUCACGCUCUCCCCUG